GAUGAUGUAGCUCAGUGGUACAGCACUUGUCUAGUAUGUACAAAGCCAUGGGUUCAAAUCCCCAGCAUCA
rnacentral:tRNA from 1 species